CGUGGUUGCUGGAAUUCCACUUCUCUGUCCAUUGUGCUUCCCGUGCCCUCGAUUUCUUCCCAAAAACUCCAAGAAUGAUGAGAAGGAUUUUCCCAGAUUGAGAGAUAAACCAAAAGUCCCAAACUCAUUUAUGGGAAAAACAAGAUGGAGAGAACUCCACGGCAAAAAUGUUCAUAACUCUCAAAUCACGGCGCCGAAGAAGGUAUUUUCCUCUUGCUUGUAUUCAUCUUCUUUUUUGUUGAACCACAUCUACCGUAAUCAACAGUCGGCGCCUCCAUUCAUCUUUGACCUUCCAACCAUCGCAACACCACCAAAUUCGCACGACCACCACCAUGCAAACACCAUUGCUUCCGCAUGCUACCACCGUUGACACCACAACCACCCAAACACUAUCGCAACCGCGUGCCGCCACUGAAAUAAUGCCAGAUCUGUACCCUAAACCCCCUUCAUGCAGCAGAUCUAUUCCCUAAACCAGGAGUGCGCUCAGUGCCUGCUUCACUUUGCGAAUCCGAGCUCGCUACAUUUCCUAUUCUUGUUAAAGUUUGUUUUAUAUGUACAGCCUACUUGGACUUGCUCUGCUUGCUGAAUGUGUUAGCUUCCUGACUGAUACUCAAAAACUUCAAGGCAAAUUGCAUAUUUCACCGGCCCAACAGUUGGAGGUCUUCUGAAUGCAACAUGUGCAAAUGCAACCGAGAUGAUCAUAGCAUGAUUAGCACUUCACCAGAACAAAGUUCAUGUUGUGAGGUUGUCCCUGCUGGGUUCCAUUCUCUCAAACCUUCUCUUGGUUCUUGGCAGUGCACUCCUCUAUGGUGGUUUAGCCAAUCUUAAGAGAGAACAAAAAUACGACAGAGAUGUGGCAAUUGCUUAUGGAUUCAAUGCUAUUAGGUAUCAAGCAGUAGUAGAUAAUAAAGGCUCGAAGAGGAAUAUAUUCAAGAUGACAUUGGCUGGGCUAAAGUUGAAUUUGAAGACAACAAAGUGAUACACUAUGCUAAACAAAGAAGAAGAUUCAAAUAAAUUGGAAAUAGUGAAGAUAAGUUUUCUGAUGCCUUGUUAUUUCCUUUGAUAAAUUUUACCUUCUCUCUUUGAAUUAAUUUCAUUUUUGCUAUUAAAUGACCUUAUACUAAAAUUUUAACAUUUUCUUCUUAAAAUUCAGGUUGCAGUGUACCCAGGAAAUGUCUUGGCCUUGCACAUGUCUAAACCACAAUGAUUUAAGUACUCUAGUUGACAGUAUAUUUUUUUGAGCUGCCCAGAUGUCUCGCCUUUUCAAUGGUAAUUCAACAUUUAACAUUUAAUAUCAGCACCGUCUUAGAAACUACAUAUUUCCACAAUAUUCCUGACAUCAGCACCGAUGUGGAAACAGACAUAUUCUACAUCGUUUACCAAGGGAUGACCGACUUAGAAGAUGUAAUUUCUACAUCGGUGGUGGGCUGAGGACCGAUGUAGAAAACGUUAUAUUUCUACAACGGUGGAUUUUGGAACGAUGUUCAAACAUAACACUAACAACGACGUCGUAUUCUACAUCGGUUGAGCACCGAUGUAGAAUGUCGUUUUUGACCGAUGUAAAAAGCGCGCUUUCUAGUAGUGUUACUCAAACUAGACAAAUAUCCAUGCGUUGUGCGGAUUUGUAAAUCAUUAAAGAAAUAUUUGAAUAAAUUAUUUAUUUACUAAAUCAAA